UUGCUUAAAAAUUACCAAAGCAGCAAUGCUGGGGGAAUCUUUCCCACGACAGCCGGUUCUACGUACCGGAAUGACUCGGAAUGACGGCUCCGAAAGGCCGUUACAAUUCGCGUCACAAACCCUAACAAAAACGCAGCAGAAAUAUAGGCAAAUUGACAAGGAGGCAUAUGCUAUUAUUUUCGGUGUUCGGAAAUUGGUGACGGACAAUAAACUGAUUUCAAAAAUAUUUUCACCGCAGAAGGACUUGCCAUUGUUGUCAGCAACAGGAAUAUUACGCUAUUUUUCUGGCACAUUUUGAUUUUGAGAUCCUGUUGAAAAAUUCCAAUGAUAAUGCUAAUGUAGAUGCGAUGUCGCGGUUACUUAUUUGCCAGAGGUGUUAAAGAUUGCAGUCUUCGUGACUUUAAAUCGUUGCAGUCACAUUCACUGACUAUCACUUUUUAACUGCAGUCAAUCAAUCACAUGUUUGACUAAAGACUGCAAAGUUGGAGUCAUUAGUAUUUUCUGUUAUUCAUGACUAAUUAGUCAUUUUUGCAGCCUGAGGUGAAUAAUGAUAAUCUAAAGCAAUCUUUGCGUUCACUUUUUCAUAGAAUUAUAACACUAAUUUCUUUAGAAAAUAAAUGGGUACAUAAAAAGCUUAAUUGAAACUCCAGUAGUAUAUAAAAUAUAUAGAAAAUGUCAAUGAAUUCCAGUAACUUCCAAUGAAAUAAAUUUAUAUUUAUUAUAUGUAUGUACAUAAUAUGUACGUACAUUUUAUGUAAAUGAAAAAUUAAAGUGCAUAGAAGGAUUUUCGUUUAAAAUAUUACGCUUACGCCUUCCGCAUUCACAUAAGGUAAAAGUUGGAUCAACCACGAAAUCUUCGGACAAAAAAUCACUUAAUAUGGAAGACAUUUUUCAUAUACUUAUGUAAGUAUUUUCUUUUUGUAAAAUAAGAACGGUUUAAAUGGAAACUAGUCUGUUCUGCUUGAAUAUUUUAUUGAAAAUGAAAAAAUCUUAACAUAUGUAAGUCAAUUCAAUACAUACAAAAUAUUGUUUACUACUUAUGUAUGCGCAAACCAUAUUGCUACAGUUUGGAUGUAGAUCAGUAUAAAACCUAACAAACUCCACCUCAGUCCAAAUGUAAUUUGGACAUUCUAAACGAAAGAUUUCGGCCGCUGUUGUGUAGUGGUAAGCAGUGCGCGCUUUCACUCAUCAGCACCUGGGUUCA